AUUGAGCAGUUGUUAUUACCUUCACAAUAUUGUCCAUUCAUUCUGCCUCAUCUGUAAAUAAUUUAAUCACCCCAAAGAGACCCCUGUCCCAUUAGCUCUUGCUCCCCAUUCCUUUCUUCCAGGCCCUGGCACUCUGUAAUCUACUUUCUGUCUCCGUGGAUUCUCCUGUUCUGGACAUUCCAUAUCAAUGGGAUCACACACUACGUGGCCUUUUGUGUCUGGCUUCUGUCAGUCAACAUCUUUUUCGAGGUUCAUCCACAUUGUAGAGGGUGUCAGUGCUUCAUUCCUUUUGAUGGCUGAGUAAUACUCCAUUGUGUACUUUUGCUUUUUCAUCUUGGGUGGUCUCCACCUUUUGGAAAAUGUGAAUCUGCUGCUAUGAAUGUGCAUCUACAAGUAUUCGGGAACCCCUGGAGUGGAAUUGUGGGGUUGAUGAUAACUCCAUUUUAACCUUUGGUGGACUCACCCAACUGUUUUCCACCCCUCCCCCCAGCAAUGCGGAGAGAUUUUCCUCUCUUUCCUGCACACACCAAUACUUGCUAUUUCCUUCUUUUUGAAAUUGAUAAUAGCCAUCCCGGGGGAUGGGCAGUGGUACCACAUUAUGGCUUUGAUCUGCAUUUCCCUAAUGAGUCCUGAGUCAAGCUCUUCACAUCCUUGUUGAGUAUCUUCGUUGGAGAAAUGUCUAUUCAAGUCCUUGGCCCUUUUUAAGGGCGGCUAACUUUUUGUUGUUGAGUUGAAGGAGUUCUCUAGGCAGCCUGGCAGUGAACCCUCCUCAGCUAUAUGUCUUGCAACUCUUAUACCCUGUUCCGCCACAGCACCCAGCUCCUGCGGUGCAGUGGCUAUUUCCUGACCCACGUCCAGACCUUGCAAUAGCCCUGAACAUUGCCUUGCUCUCCAGAGGAGGAAACGGAAGCCCAGAGAGGUACUGAGACUUCCCAGCAGAGCCGGAUUUGAACCCAGGACCUCACCUCCCACCCACUGCUCUCUGCUACUUGCCGGAUGCACCAGCAAUUUCACUGGCUUUGUAUUUCCAGUUAUUUUUCCAACUGAUGAAGCCAAUUUUUUUUUUCAAAUUUCAAAUUUACUUGAAAUUGAAUGCAUUCUGCUGUCAUGUAUAACAAAUUAGAGUAAAUGAAUAAAUUAUUAAAAAUUAGUUGAAAAAUAAUUUUUUUGUGUGCCCCGAGUCCUCACCUUAGUCCUUAAUAGGUAAAAUGGUUUUGGGGGAGCCUAGGGGUGACUCCUCAUCCCCAGGUGGCAUUCUUUUUUUGCUGUGUGGCUUUGGGCUAGUCCCUUAACCUCUCUGGGCCUCCUCAUCUUGCAUAGGUUACAACUUCUGAUUCAUUCGUUCAUUCACCCGGCUGUUCAACCAACACACUUUUCCUUGUUUUAUAGGUGGGGUAGCUGAGGUUCAGCAACUCAUCCAGAUGAGCACCCUGUUCUUUUCCAGGACUUAAGAUACACAGAUGUAAAAUACACCUGCAUUUGUUCAUUUGACGAAUAGUGAUGGUACAACCACCUUGUUCCCAGCUUGGGAGGCUCAUGGUGACCAAGACAAGCUUUUUCUUCUGGGGCUCACAGCCUGGAGGAGGAGGUGGAAGCAUACAAGAAACGCACAAGGGACAAUUUCCUAAUCUGGCCAAAGGACAUUAACCGAGCUGUUUUAGGUUCAUCCUUAUUUGUUGGGGGUUGUGGGCACCCAGAUACCCUGGCCCGGCCCCACCCCUUGUGUGGGGGCGACUCCCCAGUUUAUGGUGUGUGCAUUCAAUCUGGAAAGUUGAGCCUUCAAGUGAGCCCCAUGGAGGAUGAUCUCACUCAUCUUGGCCUUGGGUCAAACCCCUCCAGCCCCCGCGGACCGGUCGGAGACUGGGCGGCAGUUGGCUGGGAUGGUUAGCAACCUUGCUGACGGGCUGCGAGCCCCGCGAUCCACCUGGAAGGACUGGCCUUGCUAUUUUCUGGAGGAAAGAAAUGGGGCUUGGAGAAGGAAGGUGACUGUCCCACAGUCACGAAGUCGAGAAGUGAGUCUAGACCGGAGGGUUUUAUUCCUAUAUUCUACUCUCUCCCUCGGGAUCCCCGGGGUGAAGACCUGGGAGACUCUUGGCCCUCUGUGGCGGUCACUGGCCCCCAGCGUCCAUGGCGCUAAAUAGGGAAAUGCAUCCCCGUAAAAUAGAAAUCUUUUAAAAGCUUGAAUAUGAAA